AAAAUGCAGAACUCCAAAGUUGGCACAGGCUAGUGACAACUCCUUAGACCCUAUCCCUUCAGUUUCUUUUUCCCUGGAGUGAAAAGCUUGUCAGGAAUGAUACAACUUAAUGGACUGAUGAGAAGCUCAGAUUCACACAUGGUGACUUUGUUUGCACCAUCACACCCCACCUUGUUCUAGUGCUUGGGCCCCACAUGCCCCCUUAGCUGCUUCAGGGGUUCUGGUCACUGUACCUGCAGUGCACUGGCUUAUUCUUAAUGGCAGGGCAGACACAAGCAGUGCUCCCCAGCUUCCCAGGCUCUUCUGCAGCAGCUCUGGGUUGGGGUCUUUUUAGUGUGUUUUAGGUUGUUUUGGUGCAUUUUGUUUUUCUCAGGCUUUGGAAAACACUCCUCUCCUGGAACACUCCCAGCAGUCAUCUUACAACAAAGCCCAUUGUCCCAUUUUCUCCUCCUCAGCCAUGCUGGAGUCCUUUUUCCUUUUUUUCCCCAGUGUCUCUUUUUGCCUGCAUUGCUUACACAAAUGAAGGCUUUAUUGUGCUAAGGGUAUGCAAGCCUACAGCGAUGAGCCUCUCAGCAGAACAAACGCUGCCGAAGCCUGCUGCGAUGCAAUGAAAGCCACGAAGAGCAAGACUGGUGCCAAGACUGACAGCUUCCCAAACAACUCUCAUCCACCUGGCAGAGCCCCGCCUGGCAUCUUCAUAGGAGCCCAGGGAAAAUGGAAGGAUAACAGAAGUAAAUCCCCAGCCUGCAGAAGAGCUCUCAAAGAGGACACAUGAAGGACCUGAAUGGGAUGAGGCUGGGGAAAUCAGGAAAUCAAUCCCACGGAGGAGCAGAGGGCUAAGAAGCAACUGCAGGCUUGGUCAGUGGAGCUGAAAGGAGAAGAGUUCAAAAGGAGGCCACCUUCAAAGGAUUUUCAUAAUUAAAAAGCCUUCACCCCAGGCUUUCAGCCCUGUUAUCAUCCCCAGCACCUUCUGAACUGAUCCUGCCUGUGCACUGCAGGCUGAGGAAGGGGG